rnacentral:rRNA from 1 species
UACGUAGGUGGCAAGCGUUGUCCGGAUUUACUGGGCGUAAAGAGCGCGCAGGCGGUCGUUCAAGUCGAGUGUGAAAGCCCCCCGGCUCAACUGGGGGAGGGUCAUUCGAUACUGAUCGACUCGAAGGCAGGAGAGGGAAGCGGAAUUCCCGGUGUAGUGGUGAAAUGCGUAGAUAUCGGGAGGAACACCAGUGGCGAAGGCGGCUUCCUGGCCUGUUCUUGACGCUGAGGCGCGAAAGCUAGGGGAGCAAACGGGG